GGGGGGUGUUUUAAGGAAAUGUAUUAACGGUGAAAUUGAGAGUGAACGUGUUAAGUAAUUCACCACUCUGUUUAGCAUCUUUGCUUUACUAUUUAAAUUUAAAGUUAAGUGUAUAAAAGUGGCUGAAUAUUUCUUCCCCUGUUACUGAGACAGCCUGGAAAACAUGUAAGGAAGUGAUCAUGUGAUUAAAUAUAACCCAUAUACCUAUAACAAACCCAAAGCAUUAGACGUUUCUGGUGUGCUGGCACUACCACAAUGGUAUUUUAUGAGGAAUGGGGGUGCCUAGUCCUGGAAAAUGUUGUCUACAAAUAAAUUCAGUGCGUCCCAAAUGGCACUCUAUAAAGUGCACUACUUUUGACCAGGGCCCAUAGAAGAAUAGGGUGCCAUUGUGGACGUACACAUUGUCUAAAUGAAAUGUACAUUUCUCUGUGCAUGUGUCUAAUGCAUCGUUUGAUUAUGUAAUUUCUUGCGGUCCUGCAAUGAAUCUUUAAUUUAUUUGAUGUACUUUUGUAAAUCAAACAAUUGCAUUUUCUUCCAUAGCAACAACUGGCCUUUUGUGCUAGAAAUGCUGUCACACUUCUUUCUUUUUUUUAAAUAUAUAUAUUCUAUUUUUAUUUAUCCUUUUAUUUCCUUAUGCCCCUUUUUUGUCUUGCAGUCAUUCAGCCAUGUUUCAUGAUUCUGUAACGUUGCAAUAUCAUAGGGAACAAUGACUGACCACUACAACCAUGCUCUGUUUUUAUUGGAUAGGUGGCUGAGAGGUGAACAAUAAGGACAUUGACCUUUUUCUAUACCUCGUUAUCUCUAAACACACAAGCAGGGACAGGACAAAAGGUUGGAUGUAUGGAGCAGAGAUGCUGUCGUAUGUGGCUAUUUUAAAACAUUGUGUUAAUGACAUUUAUUGGACAAGGAGGGUAUAUUAUUGCUUUAGGGUUCUGUAAAUGCCUAAUCAUGCCAGCCAGUGUUGCAGUCUACAGUUCAACUCAUUGUCUCCAAGGUAACAUUUGUUACUUCCUAUAUUGUAUGCCUAUUGUUUACAAAAGAAUUUACAAAACACUACAUCUAAAUCUUGCCCUGGAUUAUUAUUAUUAUUCGCAUAACUUUUUUUGUACAGCUCUCUCUUUUUUUUGUCAGCACACCAAAUUUGUAGCUGAGGUUAUCUUCCCUCUUAUUUUGUUCCAGAUUCUUGUAAUGAUUUGCAGGGCUGUACCUGUCCAAUGAAUUUAUAACUGAUUAGGGAAAAACAAUAAAUGCUGUUAUCACGAUUUUGUUGAUUUUGGUUUGACACUUAUACAAGUGGUUUGUUCGAAUGGUAUUUUACACGAAGUCCAUGAGGUGUGGGUCAACUGUUUGUUCACCCGCCCGCAACUGCUAAUAACCCAUUGCUAAAAUCUGAUGCCCUGACCCUAACCUGCAAAUAUAGAAAAUAUAUUGUAGGCUACAGUCAGACAGUGGAAUUAUUAUUAUUAUUAUUUAUUUAUUUUUUUGAAAGGGGGUGCGGGA
ensembl:lncRNA